CCUACGGGUGGCAGCAGUCGAGAAUCAUUCACAAUGGGGGAAACCCUGAUGGUGCGACGCCGCGUGGGGGAAUGAAGGUCUUCGGAUUGUACACCCCUGUCAUGUGGGAGCAAAUUAAAAAUAUAGUACCACAAGAGGAAGAGACGGCUAACUCUGUGCCAGCCGCCGCGGUAAUACGGAGGUCUCAAGCGUUGUUCGGAAUCACUGGGCGUAAAGCGUGCGUAGGCUGUUUCGUAAGUCGUGUGUGAAAGGCGCGGGCUCAACCCGCGGACGGCACAUGAUACUGCGAGACUAGAGUGAUGGAGGGGGAACCGGAAUUCUAGGUGUAGCAGUGAAAUGCGUAGAUAUCGAGAGGAACACUCGUGGCGAAGGCGGGUUCCUGGACAUUAACUGACGCUGAGGCACGAAGGCCAGGGGAGCGAAAGGGAUUAGAUACCCUAGUAGUC
rnacentral:rRNA from 1 species